AGGUAAGCAAGUCACCUCUUGUUAGCAGUGUUAUCUACAAAUGUGCAGAUUCCUUAGAAGCUACAACGUCUUCGUUUUUCUUUGGACUUUUUGGCUGCAACUUUUGAAUCAGGAAAUGUAACUUCAUUCAAUAUCGUGGAGCGGUCAAGUUGCCAUGGGGUUGUUUCUACCUCCAUUCCAACCAAGUCAAAUGGGAAACGAGCAUGAAGGAUUUUUAAGUGAAGGAAUAUUGAGUGAAAGAUUUUUAUGAGCCAAGGCUGGAAGUUCCGUCAUCAAUUUGACCCACGUUCCGCGGACCAGAAUUCACAGAGCAGUUUAUGUCACCAGAGACAUGAAUGAAAAACCUCAACUGAAGAAAUGACAUGUUCCUAGAAUGUUUUAUGGCUUUAUGGCUAGUUGAUAAAAUUAUUCUGAAAGUUAUCUA